UACGUAGGGGCCUAGCGUUGUCCGGAUUUAUUGGGCGUAAAGAGCUCGUAGGCGGUUUGGUAAGUCGGGUGUGAAAUCUCCACGCUCAACGUGGAGGGGCCACCCGAUACUGCCAUGACUGGAGUCCGGUAGGGGAGUGUGGAAUUCCCGGUGUAGCGGUGAAAUGCGUAGAUAUUGGGAGGAACACCAGUGGCGAAGGCGGCUCACUGGACCGGAACUGACGCUGAGGCGCGAAAGCGUGGGGAGCAAACGGG
rnacentral:rRNA from 1 species